rnacentral:tRNA from 1 species
GGAGAGAUAGCUCAGUGGUUAAGAGCACUGACUACUCUUCCAAAGGACCUGGGUUCAAUUCCCAGCACCA